rnacentral:rRNA from 1 species
UUAAUUGAAGAGUUUGAUCAUGGCUCAGAUUGAACGCUGGCGGCAGGCCUAACACAUGCAAGUCGAGCGGCAGCACAGAGGAACUUGUUCCUUGGGUGGCGAGCGGCGGACGGGUGAGUAAUGCCUGGGAAAUUGCCCGGUAGAGGGGGGAUAACCAUUGGAAACGAUGGCUAAUACCGCAUAACCUCGCAAGAGCAAAGCAGGGGACCUUCGGGCCUUGCGCUACCGGAUAUGCCCAGGUGGGAU